UUUAAUCUCUCGAUAUGUACGCAGUGUUUCUACACUUCCCCUUGCUCUAGCAUUCUGGAUUUGCCAUGAUGAAUUUGAAGAUUAAUCGUGGCAGAUUAUUGUAGCCGAAUGAGCUUCACCACAGUACCUUCCUUUUGCUAAGGGCUGUUCACCCACCCCUUUUUGUUACUUUAUUUCAUAUAUUAUGCCUGUUGGUUACUUGUGGAAACAAGUAACA